UCAAGCUAGAAAGGGUGUACGUGAGGAUGCCUAGGCACCAAGAGCCGAAGAAGGACGUGGCAAAGCUGCGAAAAGCCUCGGGGAGACGCAAGCAGUCGUAGAUCCGGGGGUGUCCGAGAUUCGGAAACGACGUGUGGUAGAUCCACACGAGCCGUGCAUGAAUCCAUAGUGUACGGUAGGGAACGCAGGGAACUGACCCAUCUCAGUACCUGCAGGAAAGGAAAGAGACAUCGACUCCCCCAGUAGAGGCGAUCGAAAAGGGAAGAGCCCAAACCUGGUGUGCGUGAUAGCCCGCGAGCGUUGCACACUGGGUGUUGUGAGAGCCGGGGCCACGGUUGCGGUCGUGGCACGGAGUUACCAAACCAGGAUUUAGACGAGCUGGCUGGAAAGCCAGGCCAAAGAGGGUGAUAGCCCCGUAGUCGAAAGGUCGCUGGUCUCCGCCGGAGUUCUCGAGUAGCGCCCGUCCCGUGGAACCGGGCGUGAAUCAGCGCGGCCCACCGCGCAAGGCUAAGUACUCCUUGGUGACCGAUAGUGAAGAGUAGCGCGAGCGAAAGGUGAAAAGAACCCCUGUUAGGGGAGUGAAAUAGAACCUGAAACCGUAUACCUACCAGCGGUCGGAGCCCUAUUGAUGGGGUGACGGCGUGCCUUUUGCAUAAUGACCCGGCGAGUUAGCGUACGCGGCAAGGUUAAGGGUUUAUGGCCCGAAGCCGAAGCGAAAGCGAGUGCGAAAUGUGCGACAUUCAGUCGAGUGCGCUAGACCCGAAAGCAGGUGAUCUAACCAUGGGCAGGAUGAAGCGGAUGUAACAGUUCGUGGAGGUCCGAACCGGUAGAUGUUGAAAAAUCUUCGGAUGACUUGUGGUUAGGGAUAAAAGGUCAAUCAAACCUGUAGAUAGCUGGUUCUCCCCGAAAUAGCUUUAGGGCUAGCCUCAGGAGUUUUCCUACGGGGGUAGAGCGACUGUUCAGGUUGAGGGGGUGCAUAACCUACCUCGCCCAGACAAACUCCGAAUACCAUGGGAACAAGCCUGGGAGUCAGACUGCGAGGGAUAAGCUUCGUGGUCAAGAGGGAAACAGCCCAGAUUGGCAGCUAAGGCCCCGAAUCCAUGCUAAGUGUAGAUAAGGAGGUGGGGUUGCAUAGACAGCUAGGAUGUUGGCUUAGAAGCAGCCAUCAUUUAAAAAGUGCGUAAUAGCUUACUAGUCGAGCAACUCUGCGCCGAAAAUUAACGGGACUAAGCAUGGAGCCGAAGCUCCAGACUGCACACAGGGAAUGUGUGCAUUGGUAGGGGAGCGUUGGACGAGCGGUUGAAGGAGGACGGUAACGACCUCUGGACGAAGUCCAAGUGAUUAUGCCGGGAUGAGUAGCGAUAAAGAAGGUGAGAAUCCUUCUCGCCGUAAGCCUAAGGUUUCCUGGGCAAGGCCAUUCCGCCCAGGGUUAGUCGGUCCCUAAGGCGAGGCUGAAAGGCGUAGUCGAUGGGAAGCAGGUCAACAUUCCUGCACCACUGUGAGCGUUGAACGAGGAGUGACGGCGGGUCGAAGGUUGUCCGGCUGUUAGAUGCCGGUUUGCAGUCUGGGGUGGUGGAUAGGUAAACCCGUCCACGGAAUCUCCGGGCUGUGAGGAGCCCUCGAGGCGAACCAACUGGAAGUCCGUCCGAGAAAAACUUCGCGGGAGCAAAGCAGUGACCGUACCUAAUCUGACACAGGAGGGCGAGGCGAAUAGCCUCAGGCGCUCGAGAGAACCCUACGUGAAGGAACUCGGCAAAUUAACCCCGUAACUUCGGGAUAAGGGGUGCCCUCGCAAGAGGGUCACAGGAAAACGACAGCUGCGACUGUUUACUAAAAACACAGGUCUCUGCAAAGUCGUCAAAGGCGACGUAUAGAGACUGACGCUUGCCCGCUGUUGGAACGUUAAGGUGACUGGUUAGCCGCAAGGCGAGGCUGGGAGCCGAAGCGCCAAUGAAGGGCGGCCGUAACUAUGACGGUCCUAAGGUAGCGAAAUUCCUUGUCGGGUAAGUUCCGACCCGCACGAAUAGCGUAACGACAGCUGUACUGUCUCCACGAGGGACUCGGCGAAAUUGUAGCUGUGGUGAAGAUGCCACAUACCCGCACCAAGACGGAAAGACCCCGUGCACCUUUACUGUAACCUAAUACUGGCUCUAGGUUCGCCAUGUGUAGCAUAGGUGGGAGACGUUUAUGUCAGGGGCGCCAGCCUCUGAAUAGUCAUCAGUGAAAUACCACUCUUGGCGUAUUUGGAGUCUAACCUGCGACCGUAAUCCGGCGUGGGAACAGUGUUAGGCGGGCAGUUUGACUGGGGCGGUCUCCUCCAAAAAGGUAACGGAGGAGUGCAAAGG
rnacentral:rRNA from 1 species